UGGGGAAUCUUAGACAAUGGGGGCAACCCUGAUCUAGCCAUGCCGCGUGAUCGAUGAAGGCCUUAGGGUUGUAAAGAUCUUUCAGUUGGGAAGAUAAUGACGGUACCAACAGAAGAAGCCCCGGCUAACUCCGUGCCAGCAGCCGCGGUAAUACGGAGGGGGCUAGCGUUAUUCGGAAUUACUGGGCGUAAAGCGCACGUAGGCGGAUCAGAAAGUCAGAGGUGAAAUCCCAGGGCUCAACCUUGGAACUGCCUUUGAAACUUCUGGUCUUGAGGUCGAGAGAGGUGAGUGGAAUUCCGAGUGUAGAGGUGAAAUUCGUAGAUAUUCGGAGGAACACCAGUGGCGAAGGCGGCUCACUGGCUCGAUACUGACGCUGAGGUGCGAAAGCGUGGGGAGCAAACA
rnacentral:rRNA from 1 species